CAUGACGUCGUGACAUCAGGACAUCGUGACAUCGUGACAUCAUGACGUCAUGAUGUCAUGAUGUCAUGACGUCAUGACAUCAUGACGUCGUG
rnacentral:miRNA from 14 species